GGAUACUACUGUUUCAGCUGACGAUGUCGGUGGUGCUGUGGUUGUGGUGGUGGUAGUGGCGGUUGGGGUGGGGACUAUAUUUGUAGCAGCUGGCUCUUCUGUCACAGUUGCACCAGAAGAAGAUGAAUCUCCUUGAGAACUUUUGAAAUCACCAAAUCCUCUAUAAACCCUAGGCACAGACUCGAUCAAUUGAGGUGCACCCCCUUCUUCACGCCCUCUCUUUUGUCC
rnacentral:misc_RNA from 1 species